rnacentral:rRNA from 1 species
UACAGAGGGUGCAAGCGUUGUUCGGAAUUAUUGGGCGUAAAGCGCGUGUAGGCGGCUUUGCAAGUCGGGUGUGAAAGCCCUCGGCUCAACCGAGGAAGUGCGCCCGAAACUGCAGAGCUUGAGUACCGGAGAGGAUGGCGGAAUUCCCCAAGUAGAGGUGAAAUUCGUAGAUAUGGGGAGGAACACCGGUGGCGAAGGCGGCCUUCUGGACGGAUACUGACGCUGAGACGCGAAAGCGUGGGGAGCAAACAGG